UACGGAGGAGGCGAGCGUUGUCCGAAUUCACUGGGCGUAAAGCGCGCGUAGGCGGACUUUUAAGCUGGGGGUGAAAUGUCGAGGCUCAACCUCGGAACUGCCUCCAAAACUGGGAGUCUUGAGGUAUGGAGAGGGAAGUGGAAGUCCAGGUGUAGCGGUGAUAUGCGUAGAUAUCUGGAGUAACACCCGUCGCGAAGGCGGCUUCCUGGUCAUAUCCUGACGCUGAGGUGCGAAAGCCAGGGGAGCGAACGGG
rnacentral:rRNA from 1 species